AUGGCAGGACGAUCCUUUUUUAUUUAAAACCUUUAAGGCAAUAGUAUGCGCAAUCGUAGUAGAUGUAAUUGUUUUGAUUGAAGGCAUCGUCAGUUUGUUAAUAUUGUCUUAUCUGUUCAACGGAUUUCGAUCAAUCGAAAUUCCAGCGUGUAGAGAAUGAGCCCAGGAAUAUGAAACAAUGGAAACAAUUAUGUCUACUACGAUUACACAUACUAUUGCCUCUAAAAAUGAACCGUAUAAGCAAAAAAGGUUCUUUUUCUAUAUAAAAAAGAAUCUUUUCUACGUAGAAAAGAGUCUUUUCUAUAUAGAAAACUGCAGCCGUAAUUCCACCCCUCAGAUAUCUUAGAACGUGAAAUGU